rnacentral:lncRNA from 1 species
UGGAAAUCCGCCUUUAGCAAGUAAGAAUCAAAUGAAACAACGGUCAAAGCAAUUCUAACAAAUGUUUAUAUUCUACCUAUCUUACAUUACAAAAAUAUUUCAAUUUUAAUAAUUGUACUGUACAUCAGUAUGUCUUUAAUUAUAAUUCUUUUAUUCAAGUUUUCUUUGAAAUUUUGAAAGAAAAAUAUACGAUGUAGAUGAAAGAAAUAAAUCCAACUAACGCAGUUCGACUUUGGCGUCUUUCCAGAAGCUUUCAAGAAUUAAAGAAUGAGCUCUUUCAGAUGGUAAAGCCAGCCGUAAUUUCAUCAUGGUCUUCAAAACGAUCUGUAUACCAAUUAGCCCAGAUGAGCUAUGCAAAUAGACUUAGUCACCUAUUAAACGCAUUUGAUGCCUGUUGUCAUCCAAUUCACAUUUCCAAAUAACUCACAUGUCUAGUUACCACUGUUCUGAUAAUGUAAGCAUAGAAUGGAACAAAGAUAACCAAGCAUUUAUAUAUGCGAGUGAAUUGGGUGGGAUAACUCACAUGCCUAGUUACCACUGUUCUGAUAAUGUAAGCAUAGAAUGGAACAAAGAUAACCAAGCAUUUAUAUAUGCGAGUGAAUUGGGUGGGAUAACUCACAUGCCUAGUUACCACUGUUCUGAUAAUGUAAGCAUAGAAUGGAACAAAGAUAACCAAGCAUUUAUAUAUGCGAGUGAAUUGGGUGGGAUAACUCACAUGCCUAGUUACCAUUCUUCUGAUAAUGUAAGCAUAGAAUGAAACAAAGAUAACCAAGCAUUGAAAUUAUAUAUGUGAGUGACCAAGCAUGUUAAGUUAUAUAUGCGAGUGAAUUGGGUGGGAUAACUCACAUGCCUAGUUACCAUUCUUCUGAUAAUGUAAGCGUAGAAUGAAACAAAGGUAACCAUGUUCUGAUAGUGUUAGCAUAGAAAUAUGUGAGUGAAUUGGGCGGGAUAACUCGCAUACCUAGUUACCAUUGUUCUGAUAAUGUAAACACGGAAUGGAACAAAGAUAACCAACCUUCUAAAUUAUGUAUACUACAUACAAACAUAACAACUACUGCUAUUAACCCUAACUGCUACUACAUCAAAUACUGCUACUGUUCUGAUAGUGUUAGCAUAGAAUGGAACAAAGGUAACCAAGCAUUUAAAUUAUAUACGUGAGUGAAUUGGAUGGCAAUCGACAUAAAUACUCGUUAAUUGUAACUGAACAAGUCUAUUACUGUAGACUUUACGACUAGUCUAUAUCGCGUUGACGCCUUUUCAAUUCUAUGUUUUCUGAAAAUGUGUUGGGUACCUUCUCGGGACGUGCUUCAGGUCUUGAAACGUCGAACUGUCUUUAGUCAUUAUCAGGCAGUUCUGAUAAAACCCAUCUCAGCUUCAAAAUCCUUAAUAGUAAUAACCGUCCUUUUUGGUAUGAUACCCAACCAUUUCUUGACUUGCGUAACGCGACAUAGAACAAAUUCAAAUUAUUUCUUCAUUUUAAAUAUUUUAACACUGUCUGUUCCUGCAUAGUCGUAUUUCCGAGGGCUUUUGUAAUCGGUUGCAUGGACCACCUAGUUUUUUGGUUAAUUUAUGUUCGCAUUUUACUCUUCGUAGUUGAUAACCAUACCCACACGAUCGGGAACACUAAAGAAUGGGAAAGCAGAUUAUUAGUGGUAAGAGUAGUGAUAUAAUUUA